ensembl:lncRNA
CAGCAGACUGGAGGGAGAUGCUUCUGUUGGCUUUGAAGUGAGCUGCCAGACUGGGAUAUGGCCAUAUGAGGUAUUAUCAUAUAUUACUAUAAUCUGAGGGCAGCCUCUGGGAGCUAAGAGUCAACAGCUAGCAAGAAAAUGUGGUCUAUGUCCUACAAAAUCAAGGAACUGAAUCCUUCCAACAGUGUGAAUGAACUACACCUUGGUUUCAGCCUUGUGAGACAGUGAGCAAGGAGCCUGGGCCCAGCUAUGCUCUGCCUAGAUUUAUAACCUAAAGAGUUAUGAGGUAGAACCAGGACAUAGUGACAUGUGGUGUUUUGUCCAUGAAGAUGGAAAGAUCCUAGACUCUAGAUACUGACAGCCAGCUUUCCAAUGAAAUUCACAUCCUAGAUAAGACCCUUGCUGCACGGGCAAGAUAGCUGACAUCAAGGCUCACGGACGAUCUCCAGCCAAAAAUGAAGCAUUAAUCCCACAUUUUGGGCAGACAUCUUGCCUGCUCCUAAGAAACUCAACUGCCAGCCAAUAUUAUUGGAGAGCUUUUAAAAUGUGUCUCUACAGGCACAGGCUACAGGGUGCAAAAUGGAUUGUGGAAAAUCUAGGAAUAUCAGGACUGUCUUCCUCUCAAAAUUUGCAAGUACAUGUCAUUUAAGCAAAGAUGAGCAAGGACCCUUUUCUCAGCUCCCUACCAACGUUAUGCUUAAAUCAUGGUGAACAUUUGUCUGCCACUACCUCAAAGUAAUAUCUUCAACAACAACAAACCACAGUGUGUGUGUUCAGCCUAAUGUAGCUACUCAGCUUCAUAUAGCUUUGUGUCCAAAGCAUCCUUCCUGUACACCUUCCUCCCCUUCUUCAUUGGUUUCGCAUAUUUGGAUUUUCAAAUGAAAGGGAAAAUUUCUACACAAUCAAAAGUGAAGCUCAAGUCUUACAGAAAUAACCUAAGACCACCCAAAUAAUCACAUGCAGAGGCCGUUAAUUUAGAACUCGCUGAAGCAAUCAGCUGCCACUAUUUGUGUUUGACAAUGACUGAAAGCAGGUAAGAGGGUGGGAAAGAUUUCAAGUGAAAAACGAGAAGGCUUCAGGUAUGCUCUGAUUGGAGUUUGUUGGUAUGUAAAACUGGAGGCAGCUAACAUGAGUAUCUCAUGGGAUUGUUUGGGGAGCAUGUUUGACUUUCUUUGGUUGAUCUUGAGACAGAAGGAUGAGGGGUAGAGGAGGGACAGCAAAGUUGAAAGUCCAUGACCCAAGUUUUUACUAUUCUGGACCAACUGCUGGAGACGUUGUGGGUCGACUUCCUGGGCUUCUUAUUUGGGUCAGAAUUUAUGUCAUGGGUGGCCUGGCAAUUGUCCACCUCUGCAUUCAGGCUCUCGGUCUGGGUAAAGGACUCACUCACCUGACAGUGAAGGUGUAGAGCUGUGCUGUCCAGUACAGUGACCUCUAGUUUUGUACGGUAUUGAGCAUUUGAAAUGUAGUUAAUCUGAAAUGAAAUGUGCUAUAAAUGUACAAUGCACACUGAAUUUCAGAGCCUCCUUAUGAAAAAAGAGAAUAACAUUAAUGAUGUUUUACUAUUGAGCAGGUGUUAAAUGACAACAUUGGG